AAACUCUUAGGAAUGUCGGCCGUGAUGGCAGAACUAUCAUCUCUGCAAUCCAUCAGCCAAGUAGUGAAGUUUUCUCACUUUUCGAUGACCUGUUUUUACUAUCCGGUGGAGAACAGGUUUAUUUUGGGGAGGCAAAAAUGGCUGCAAAGGUUUAUCUUGACAAUCUCAUCAAACUUGUUCAUAGAUAAUAGUGUUUCAUCACAUUAAGCAUAUAAAAUUGAAAAUAAAUUUGUUCAUUUCUACUUACAAAAUUUGAUUUUGCAGUUCUUUGCUGAAGUAGGAUUUCCAUGUCCAAGUCGAAGAAAUCCAUCAGACCACUUCCUUCGUUGCAUAAAUUCAGAUUUUGACAUUGUUGCAGAGGCUCUGAAGGGAUCUAACAGAAUAACUGUAUGCAUUUCAAUUUUCACAUUCCAAAGGAAUAACAACAUAGUAAUUUUCCGAUGUAGCAGUCACUUAGUUUCCUUGCAUUUUUAUGAUUUUCCCUGGAUUUUACAUGCAACAAACAAAAUAUGAAGCAGGGUAUCACAGUUUUCUGAAAUAAUUUCAUAUUUUAAACAAGGAACAGUAAUGUUAUAAAUAACUGUCCGAGUCCAUACAGAAACCCUGUAUCAUAAUUAACUGUUAUUAUUUUAGAAACUUGAAAUUUUUUUUUCCAAUCAAUGUUUUCAUUAUAAGCCAAAUAGAUUUUCAAUAUAAAACAUGGUUCUAAAUCUAAUCAUUUAAAACUGAUUUUGCAGCAAAUUUAAAUUAGUUUUAUAAGUUUUCCAUUUAUGAACUGCAGGAACUUCAAAAUACAUUAGAUCCAUUGGCACACCUACCAACAGCACAGAUAAAAUCAUUGCUCGUUUAGAAAUACAGAAGCUCAGAUUAUGCAGCAAAGGCAAGAGCAAGAAUUCGAGAAAUUUCAAGCAUUGUAAGCAUUUCGAACUUAGUCAUGAAACAUCAUCUAAGAUGUACUAGUUUUUCCCAUCUGCCCAUCUACCUACAUCCUUUCGAUUUGUUAGCCAGCACGAGUUCUAACAUUUAGUUUAAUUAAAAUGCAAGUCAAUUUAUCUCGCUUUUUUUAAUUUAUUUACCUAUGCCACUGAUUUUUGUGAACUAUUAUUAGAUAUUAUAUUGGAAGGCACUGUUAUACAAGAUCUGACAGCCUCAGUUAAACAAACAGAUGAACAUGAGUUUCCUUCCUCAGAAAGCCUAUGGUUUACAACUCUUCAUUUUUCUUGAAAUAUCCGUGCCUAACACUUGUAUCUAACAUGCAUUUGGACAUGGGUUUGAGAGAAAAAUCCUUCAGAUAUGUUGAAAAACAAAAAAAAAAAUUAACAUACCCAUGUCUAAUACAUACCUAAAUCCAACACCCUCAUCUAAGUAACAUAAGGCUUAAAUAUGUCAAGUAUCUCAUAUACCAAACAUUUCCUUAUCUUUUACUUAUUUGCAUUUCAGGAGGGACUCGUUAUUGAGAAAAAACACAGUGGUGAAGCAAAAUGGUUGACUCAACUAUCAACUUUGAAGAAGAGGUCCUUUGCAAACAUGUCAAGAGAUUUGGGGUAUUACUGGUUAAGGAUAGCAAUCUACGUGGCUUUAUCUAUUUGUGUUGGCUCUAUUUUCUUCGAUGUUGGAACAAACUACAAUUCAAUCUUAGCUCGUGGGGCCUGUGGCGGUUUCAUAUCAGGUUUCAUGACAUUCAUGUCCAUAGGAGGCUUCCCAUCCUUCAUUGAAGAACUCAAGGUAAGUAAUCUCAUCUCUGGUUAAGGGAUGAUGAACUUAACCAAAUAUUUUCUAGGCAAACUGAAACUAAUGAUGCUACAACAUAGGUUUUUUAUCGAGAAAGGCGCAAUGGACAUUAUGGGGUUGCUGUUUAUAUACUAUCAAAUUUCCUCUCUUCAUUUCCAUUCUUGACAGUGAUGUCCCUUUCUACAGCAGCAAUUACCUAUUACAUGGUGAAAUUUCAUCCUGGAAUUUCACAUUUCAUGUAUGUCUCACUAGAUCUUAUUAGCUCCAUUGCAACUGUAGAGAGUUGCAUGAUGAUGAUAGCAUCACUAGUUCCCAACUUCAUGAUGGGAGUCAUAAUUGGAGCUGGUUAUAUAGUAAGAACUGUUACUUUUGAGAAAUUUUUAGUGCUCCUUCAUUAAUGUCUUAAAAAGUAUUUCAUAUUGUUUUCACUUCUCAGUAAAGUUUUUUCUUUUUGUACACAGGGUUUGCUAAUGAUGACAGCCGGGUAUUUCAGAUUGCUGCCAGAUCUCCCUAAGAUAUUCUGGCGUUACCCUGUUUCAUAUAUCAACUAUGGUGCAUGGGCAUUGCAGGUAAUUACUAUUGGUGUCCCUUGCUUUGAAUGUCUAAAAGACUAGACCUACGAAAACCUCAAUACGUAUUUAAUUAAGUUUCAAACAAGAAAACAAGACCAAGGACAAAACAGAUUCCCACAUGGACAAUGAACAUUAUUAACUUUUAGACCAAUAAAUGAACUUCACUGAGCAAAGAUUAACUGACGACAUGAAAACUUGAGAAAAAGCCUGAUCAAUAAUAGCACAAGUCAAGACUAUUCUACUAUUAAUCUUCAAAAGAAAAUUUAUGCUAUACGAUGUUUGAUGUCUAGGGCAUGAAACAAGUGGUAAUUUGAUUAUUUUUUUUGACUCAAAGGGAGCCUAACUGGAUUAGCUGCUGAUUCAAUACCUCAAAUCCUGUUAAAAUACAUAACUUUUUUUUCUUGGAGCUUAUUUUCACUACUUAAAAGGAGAAAACUUUCUAGAAAAGUAGUUGGAUGUUGCAAGUAAUUUUCCUCUUGAAUCUCAAAUUGAAGUCUUCUAUGUUAAAAAAAAAGCUUAUUUGUAACCCUAUCUAACAGUGUACAAGAGUUAAAAUUAUGCAUAGGAAAUACGGCAUAACACUUAGAGUUCGAAUGCAACAAUGUCCCAACAAAACAAUUUGAAUUGACUCUGUUAAAUGGAGAAUGCAGGGAGCAUACAAGAAUGAUAUGGUUGGGCUUGAGUUUGAUGGCUUCAUAUCUGGUGGUCCAAAACUGAAAGGUGAUGUCGUCCUCACAUCUAUGCUAGGCAUCCAUCUGGAUCACUCAAAGUGGUGGGACUUAGCAGCUGUUAUAAUGAUUUUGAUAGCUUACAGAUUACUUUUCUUCAUCAUUCUCAAGUUCAAGGAGAGAGUCUCACCAUUGUUUCGAACUCUUUAUACAUGGCGAACAUUGCAGCACAUGAAAAAACGACCUUCUUUUAGGAAAACAUCAGCCUUCCCAUCCAAGAGGCACCAAGUUCUACAUUCACUGUCUUCUCAAGAGGGUCUAAACUCUCCAAUUCACUAGAAGAAUCAACAAAUCAUGAGUACUAUAGUAAUGCUCUUACUGGAAUUUGAUUACAGAAACAAAGAGAAAGAGAUUAUAGUAGAAUUACAUAUGGAAUUAUCUGUAUCAGCUUUAUUUUUCAAGUGCUUCUAAUAUCUGCAAACUGUUCUGGCAUUAAUGGCAAGAGGGUUUCCCAUCUCCCAAGAAUGGUUUGUUUAUGGUCCUCCCUAGCAAUGGCAAUGAAGAGCAGAAACCUGAUUUCUGUUGUUGCAACCAGUGCUUUGAAGUAACCAGAUAUGAUAAACAAAUACAGAAAAUAUCCCAUUGUUCUUCGUAAAUAAUUUCAUCUGCCAAAUGUUUGUAGCAGAUGCCUCCUACAUUAUACGAUGUCAUAACGUCUAAUGAUACCAUUAUAUUUGUAUGUAAUAUUAUAUUGUUGUUCUUUCUUCUUCUUUUCCAGUGCUAAAAAAAUGUAGGUUUGAAAUCCCCGAGAUGGAUUAAAUCAGAUUCUUUUACAGUUAUACAUCUCAGAAUUCAUUAAGUAUUUUACAGGUGAUAGAAUAUCUUACAGGCAACAUCCAUGAUCCUUCUUCUGC
rnacentral:lncRNA from 1 species